AGCGGGUUGGCAGAUUUUUAUGUGUUUGGUUUAGGGCCAAAGUAUGGGAUAGUUUUUCCACCUGUUU
rnacentral:tRNA from 1 species